rnacentral:lncRNA from 1 species
AAUGGCCGGCCAUAGGGUUUGAUUGGGCUUUUAAGGCCUUUGUGAAUUAUUUGUCAUUAGGUUGUCAUACAACUUAAGUCAAUGGGCUGGACGUUCGAAGCCCAUUGGGCCUUGAGGCCCAAAACUAUCCCAAGGUCUUUAACGAACUUAUUCGUUUCAUUAAUUAACAUAUUAAUUAAUCCUUGCCAUAAAUAAUUAAACCAUUUAAUUAUUCUUACUCAUCUCCGUUGUUUCUUCAAUCUCUACCUUACACGGUGUACGAUCCAUUAGGUUCCUUUUAGCGAGGCAGUGGGCGAUUAAAACCAUUUCAAAUCGAUUGUGAAUUGAAACUUACUUUCAAUUCUCCCUUUAGUGAUUAUACACAUUUAGGGCUUCCACAAACCAUGAGUGACACCUAGCAGUAUAUCAUGGUUAUGAUAGGAGCAUAUUUAUGCGACUUAAUUGGCUUGUUCUCGUGAGUUUACGUUGUGUUUCCUUAGUUAUUUUAGUGUUUAAAGUCAUUUUCGUAUGUUUGUAGGUCUUAACAACAACGUUGGCAAGAAAAAUGCAUUUUGGUGCAUUUUGGAUCAAAAUUGGGCUGAAAUGGAUUGCAUGCAUGAGGAUGGACAUUUUGGGCAGAUGUGUGUGCAAGUGUAACAACUAGGAUGAAACAUGGCAUCACACACAUGCAAAGAGGAGCUGGAAUCAUCCUUCACACAAAUGCAGCAACAACCCCUCAUCAUUACACAACAUUUCUGCCACAAAACACAUGCAAAGACACCCACAUGCAAAGUGGAAGAAAGGCACGGCAAAGGGGAAGGAAUUGAAGGAUUAUUUUGUGAAAACAUGUUCAUUUGAAUAACACCUAUAGCAUGCAAUUAACAAUUAAAGGCAGAAUCAUGCUUGCAUGCACUUAAAACAAAACAUUACCCAUGAAAUUCAAAGCCUAGUAGAUUGGUGAACCAAAACUCAACUCAAAACAAAGUGAGUUGAAAUUUAUACCUU